CCUACGGGAGGCAGCAGUGAGGAAUAUUGGUCAAUGGACGAGAGUCUGAACCAGCCAAGUAGCGUGAAGGAUGACUGCCCUAUGGGUUGUAAACUUCUUUUAUAUGGGAAUAAAACGUUCCACGUGUGGGAUUUUGUAUGUACCAUAUGAAUAAGGAUCGGCUAACUCCGUGCCAGCAGCCGCGGUAAUACGGAGGAUCCGAGCGUUAUCCGGAUUUAUUGGGUUUAAAGGGAGAGUAGGUGGAUUGUUAAGUCAGUUGUGAAAGUUUGCGGCUCAACCGUAAAAUUGCAGUUGAAACUGGCAGUCUUGAGUACAGUAGAGGUGGGCGGAAUUCGUGGUGUAGCGGUGAAAUGCUUAGAUAUCACGAAGAACUCCGAUUGCGAAGGCAGUUCACUGGACUGCAACUGACACUGAGGCGCGAAAGUGUGGGUAUCAAACAGGAUUAGAUACCCUGGUAGUC
rnacentral:rRNA from 1 species